UACGAAGGGGGCUAGCGUUGCUCGGAAUCACUGGGCGUAAAGCGCACGUAGGCGGAUUUCUAAGUCAGGGGUGAAAUCCCGGAGCUCAACUCCGGAACUGCCUUUGAUACUGAAGAUCUUGAGUUCGGGAGAGGUGAGUGGAACUGCGAGUGUAGAGGUGAAAUUCGUAGAUAUUCGCAAGAACACCAGUGGCGAAGGCGGCUCACUGGCCCGAUACUGACGCUGAGGCACGAAAGCGUGGGGAGCAAACAGG
rnacentral:rRNA from 1 species